rnacentral:rRNA from 1 species
UAAUACGUAUGUCACAAGCGUUAUCCGGAAUUAUUGGGCAUAAAGGGCAUCUAGGCGGCUAAGUAAGUCUGAUGUUAAAAUGCGGGGCUCAACCCCGUAUUGCGUUGGAAACUGCUUGGCUAGAGUAUUGGAGAGGUAGGCGGAACUACAUGUGUAGAGGUGAAAUUCGUAGAUAUAUGUAGGAAUGCCGAUGACGAAGGUAGCUUACUGGACAAUUACUGACGCUGAAGUGCGAAAGCUAGGGGAGCGAACAGGAUUAGAUACCCUGGUAGUCCUAGCUGUAAACGAUGAUCACUGGGUGUGGGGGGUCGAACCUCUGUGCCGAAGUUAAUGCGAUAAGUGAUCCGCCUGGGGAGUACGUUCGCAAGAAUG